rnacentral:lncRNA from 1 species
UAACUCUGAUUACCUACUCAAGGUAAGUAUAGUGAGAAGACUCACCUCGUGUAUCUCGAUAACUCGCAAAUCCCUGAAAUCACUAGCGCUCGAUCUCCCGAGCUAUAGUCCUCCUAUAACACAAUAUAUCUCUAAUUAACACUUUCACAACUAAGGUUGACUAACCCUAUCAAGUCAACACUGGUCAACUACGGUCAAUGGUCAACUUUGACCGGACUCGGCGAGUGCACUAGAGCGACUCGGCGAGUCUAUACGUGUUCACUGACUCCCUCGGAUCCUCUCUUGACACGUCGAGUACUUCCCUAACUCGACGAGUUCCACCUGGCAUGAAUCGCGGGGCCACCACGACUCAACUCGCCGAGUCUCAAGAACAACUCGGCGAGUUCCGGCUUGACUCAGCCCCCUUUGACUCUCCCUGACUCACUGGGUUAUCCCCCAACCCGGCGAGUCUACUCGCUGAACAAUUUACGUGAAACCCCAACCCUACUCGCCGAGUCUCAAGAACAACUCGGCGAGUUCAUGCCAUGCACAAACUCUAUUGACCUUCUGAGGUCAGAUCUGCUUCCCCAAACCAUAGAUCUGGCCUUCCCAAGCAUGAAUGUCACGUAAAGUUCGAAACUUGAUGCUUGUAUAGCCACAACAAGGCAUCAAAAGGAGGUUUGGUCCCAAAAAUGACAACCUAAGUCCAAUAACUCCAUACUAACCCAAAAAGCUCCAAGGGUUAAGGUCUCUGGACGUCUUUGAGUCCAGAUCCAAGGCACAAACUCGAGGAGGGACCAUUUGCUUCACAUAAUCACUCUCCAAAGGGGUUAGAAAACCCUAACUAUAAAGAUCAACCCUACAACUGAAGGAGGUUUGAACUAUUACCUGAAAAUGAAGCCUCUGGACUCUGGAUCUGCUUGAAUCUCACCUCCUCCUUUCUCUUGUCAUCCUCUUCUUGCUAAACAAAGGAUACAAAGAUCCAAAAGUGACUUCUUCUCUCUCAAAGCGAUUUAGCUCUCUUAGGGUUCUCUCAAGGGACUGGUAGCCGCAAUGGGAGGUUAUAAGUGCCCUUAAAUAGGCUCCAAACCCGGGGAAUUAGGGUUUCAUUAAACAACGUGGACUCGCAGAGUCCACUUUUGGACUCGCCGAGUCUAGACGCGAACCCGCACCCACACUAGAACUAGACUUCGCCCUCGAAGUCUCGCCCUCGAGGUACCUGGGAAUUCGGGAUGUUACAAUUUUCCAAACCCGGGGAAUUAGGGUUUCAUUAAACAACGUGGACUCGCAGAGUCCACUUUUGGACUCGCCGAGUCUAGACGCGAACCCGCACCCACACUAGAACUAGACUUCGCCCUCGAAGUCUCGCCCUCGAGGUACCUGGGAAUUCGGGAUGUUACAAUUUUCCCCCACUAGAACUAGACUUCGCCCUCAAAGUCUCGCUCCGCAAAUAACUCCGGAUGCUGCUCACGCAUCUCAUGCUCCGGCUCCCAAGUCAUCUCGGACCCCUUCCGAUGUUGCCACUGAACCAAAACCAAGGGUACCUCCUUGUUCCUCAGAACCUUGAUUUUCCGAUCUCUGAUUGCCACCGGUCUCUCAGCAUAAUUCAGGCUCGCAUCCACCUGAAUAUCCUCUAAUGGAACCACUGCCGACUCAUCGGCUAUACACUUCCUCAAUUGCGACACAUGAAAAGUGUCGUGAAUCUGCCCCAACUCUGCUGGCAACUCCAAACGAUAGGCUACCCGGCCUACCCUCGCAAUCACACGAAAUGGCCCAAUAUACCGGGGCCCCAACUUGCCCCUCUUCCUGAAUCGAAUCACUCCUUUCCAAGGAGAGACCUUCAGGAGCACAAAGUCGCCGACCUGAAACUCAAGCUCGGACCGGCGUCUGUCCGCAUAACUCUUCUGACGACUCUGAGCGGUCAACAACCUCUGUCUGACCUGCUGGAUCUGCUCUGUCGUCUGAAGCACGAUCUCUGUACUACCCAUAACACGCUGUCCGACCUCUCCCCAGCAAAUGGGGGUCCGACACCUCCUCCCAUACAACAGCUCAAAGGGCGGCAUACCAAUGCUCGAAUGAUGGUUGUUGUUGUAGGAAAACUCUGCCAAGGGCAAAUACGUAUCCCAACUCCCCCCGAAAUCCAACACACAUGCCCGGAGCAUGUCCUCGAGCGUCUGAAUCGUCCGCUCACUCUGUCCGUCUGUCUGGGGGUGAUAUGCGGUACUAAAAUGCAGCCUAGUACCCAACUCCUCGUGAAACUUCUUCCAGAAUCUGGAAGUGAAACGUACAUCCCGGUCUGAGACAAUCGAGAUCGGCACCCCAUGCCGAGAUACCACUUCCCUCACGUACAUCUCUGCUAACUUCUCUGCGGAGGAGCUCUCACUGAUAGCAAGGAAGUGGGCGCUCUUUGUCAACCUUUACACAAUCACCCAAAUUGCAUCGACUCCCCUAGCAGUCCUUGGCAAUUUGGUGAUAAAAUCCAUGGUAAUCUGUUCCCACUUCCAUUCGGGAACCUCCAACGGCUGCAACUUACCAUGCGGUCUCUGGUGCUCGGCCUUAACCCUACGGCAGGUUAAGCACCUCUCAACAAACCACGCAACAUCCCUCUUCAUACAGGGCCACCAAUACUCUCUCCUCAGGUCCAAAUACAUCUUAGUGGCCCCAGGAUGGAUCGAGAAUUUCGACCGAUGAGCCUCUUCCAUCAAAAUGGUACGCGUCCCUCCCACAAACGGUACCCAUAUACGCCCUUGAAAUGUCAUAAGCCCCCGACCAUCGGUAACGAACUCCGAUACCAACCCAACAACUCGCUCUCUCUUCUGGUUCUCCGAUCUCACGGCCUCAGCCUGUGCUCCACGAAUGGUGUCCAACACCGGAGCCAUCACGGUCAAUCGCAAACAUACAUCUCGCAAUGGGGCGCUCUCCGCCCUGCGACUCAGGGCGUCGGCUACCACAUUAGCCUUGCCCGGAUGGUACAGGAUCUCACAAUCAUAAUCCUUGACCACAUCCAACCACCUCCUCUGCCGCAUAUUUAGGUUAGGCUGAUCCAUCAAAUACUUCAGGCUCUUAUGGUCCGUGUAUAUCGUACACCGAACCCCAUACAGAUAGUGACGCCAAAUUUUGAGGGCGAACACCACUGCCCCCAACUCUAGAUCAUGGGUGGGAUACCUCGUCUCAUGAGGCUUCAGCUGCCUCGAUGCGUAUGCUAUCACAUGCCCUCUCUGCAUCAGCACCGCUCCCAACCCCAAGAUCGAUGCAUCACAGUAUACCACAAAGUCCUCCAUCCCCUCCGGGAGGGCUAACACCGGGGCUUCGCAUAACCUUUGGCGAAGCGUCUCAAAGGAGGCCUGCUGCUCGGGGCCCCAUGAAAAAGCGACACCCUUCCGGGUCAACCUGGUGAGUGGCACUGCGAUCUUAGAGAAAUCCCUGAUAAAUCUCCGAUAAUAACCUGCCAACCCUAAGAAACUCCUGAUCUCGGAGGGUGACCUCGGCACCUCCCAACUCAUCACUGCCUCAACUUUGGCUGGGUCGACCAAUAUCCCUUUAUGGUUAACGAGAUGCCCUAGGAACUGGACCUCUUGCAACCAGAAAUCGCACUUGGAGAAUUUGGCAUAAAGCCUCUCCGAUCUCAGAACUCCGAGGAUCUCCCUCAAAUGCUCCUCAUGCUGCUCUCUAGAUCUCGAAUAUACCAAAAUGUCGUCGAUGAAUACAAUCACCGACCGAUCCAACAUCGGCCUGCACACUCGGUUCAUGAGAUCCAUGAACACUGCCGGGGCAUUGGUGAGCCCGAAAGGCAUCACCACAAACUCGUAAUGCCCAUAACGCGUCCUGAACGCUGUCUUCUGGAUGUCCUCAUCUCGCACCCUCACCUGAUGAUAUCCAGACCUCAAAUCGAUCUUGGAGAACCAAGAUGCUCCCUGCAACUGAUCGAACAAAUCGUCGAUCCUCGGCAACGGGUAACGGUUCUUGACCGUCAGCUUGUUCAACUCCCGGUAAUCAAUGCACAUCCGGUGUGAACCAUCCUUCUUCUUGACGAACAGGAUAGGUGCUCCCCACGGCGAGCUGCUCGGCCGAAUAAAUCCCUUCCCCAGCAGCUCCUGAAGCUGCGAGGAUAACUCUUGCAUCUCUGGAGGUGCAAGGCGAUAAGGCACCUUAGCGAUAGGCGCGGCCCCCGGAACCAAAUCGAUACUGAACUCCACUUGCCUCACAGGAGGCACACCCGGCAACUCCUCGGGAAAUACAUCCGGGAACUCACGCACCACCGGAACCUCCUCAACUGAACUCGGCCUCUCGGAAUCCACCCGCGUAUCCAUCACAUACGCCACAAAACCCUUACAGCCCUGCUGUAGACACUGCCUCGCCCUAGCGGCCGAACAAAACGCUGAUCCUGAACGUGUACCCUCGCCGUACACCGAAAGAACUCCCCCACUAGGGUCUCGUAUGGUCACCAGCUGUCGCUCGCAGUCGAUAACCGCACCGAAUCUGCUCAACCAGUCCAUGCCCACAAUGACACAGACAUCACCCAUCGCAAUAGGAACCAGAUCAAUCGGGAACUCAACACCGAAAAUCUCGACUACGCACCCUCGGAGAACCUCCGUGGCAUAUAUCACCCUCUCGUCAGCUAUGGAAACUCUCAGAGGCCGACUCAACGCCUCACGACUAACACUGAUAUGCUGACUAAAAGCCAAAGAUACAAAAGACCGACUCGCACCCGAGUCAAAUAACACCAAGGCAGGUACAGAAUUCACAAGAAAAGUACCUACGCAUAACAUAAUAUAAGCAUAAUAUCUCAACAUCAAAAUAAAUACACGAAAGAAUACAUACCAGCCACGACAUCGGGCGCUGCGCGGACCUCCUCCGCGGUCAGCUGAAAAGCUCUCCCUCGUGCCCUCGGCGCCUCGGCCUUCACUGGCCGACUCUCGGUAGCUCUGAUGGCGGCAGGGGCAGAUCCCUGAGGUGCUCCCUGAGAUGAUCCUCGCAAUUGCGGACACUCUGCCUUCCGGUGUCCGGUCUGGUUGCAGUGAAAACACACCGCAAACCCCUUGGGGCAGUCCUUGGCCAUGUGCCCCUCCUUGCCACACUUGUAGCAAGAUCCCGCUCUACAGACUCCAUCAUGACCCUUGCCACACUUCCCACAAGUGCGGCCCUUCUGGCUCCCUGGUUUGGGAUCAGCGGGCUUGGCCCGCUUGGCUGCCGGCUGAGACUGUGCCGGUCGCCGAUCCCUCCCCUGAGACUCCGCCUCCUCCCUGGCCUGAGUCUCUAGCUCAAUCUCCCUCUUCCGGGCAUUUGCCUGAAGCUCGGCAAAUGUCCGGUACGAGGAGUUCGCCACGAACUCCCGAAUGUCUCGCCUCAAGAUACUCAAAUAUCGGCUCAUACGUGCCUGCUCAGUGGACACGUGCUCAGGGCAGAACAUCGCCCUCUCGUGGAACAUCCUGGUAAUCACCGUAACAGACUCAGUACCCUGCUUGAGGGUCAGAAACUCCUGGGCCAAACGCUCCCUCUCCACCUGGGGAACGUACUCAUCUCGGAACAUGGCAGUGAACCUCUCCCAGGUCACUGCCGCAAGCUCAGCAGGCGUAAAGUGCGCCGUCACAAACUUCCACCAGUCCUUCGCUCCCAAGCGAAGCUGGUUCAGCGCGAACCGAACUCUCAAAUGCUCAGGAGAUGAGCAAGUGAAGAAACACCCCUCUAUGUCAGAAAUCCAUCUCAUAGCCGCCACCGGGUCCUGGGUCCCAUCAAACUCUGGCGGUUUUGUGUUGCUGAACUCUCGGAACAGCAACGCAUCACCACCCUGCGGCCUCGCGGCAGCAAUAGCUGCGGUGGCCGCUGCAACAGCAGCCUCAGAAAGAGCAGCAUAACGCUCGUCGAAAGUCUCAAUCAACGUGGUCUUAAUAGACCCGAACAUCUCUGGUAUCUCUGCCCUGAUGGCCGCAGCCACCUCCUCAUGGAUGAUCCGGCGGAUCUCCUCAUCACUGGCCCCACUGCUCUCAGGCAUAAGACGUGUCCUCACCAUGAUCUACCUCUGAAAUACAACAUACGAUAAAUUAGAAUCCAUUCGAGCAUACUCACACUCGACAACUCAUCCCUCCUUGAUCCUUGGCAUUCCAAAGAUUCUUACUUGGGCUGUACACCGCCCCGGUGCUUUCAGUAGUACGGGCCCAAUACUACUGUCCGCACCGUAUCAGAAUACACCCCAAGUCCUCCUCUUCGGAUCCCAAGUUCCAAGUACUCUAUUAUGCAUAAUCCACUCUCUAACAGAUCUCUCAUAAGCUCCUCGCUGCUACCUACUCACUCUCAAGCAUCUCAUAGCAGCUCACCUCUCCCUAGGCUAAGGCAUCACAAAUCAGGCCACUCUAGUCCUAAUAGGAGUACCUAGCCUACUCUAGCAUGAGAAUACAUCAUAUCAAUAUCAAUAUCACAUAACAUGAGGGUAUUUUGGGAAAUCACCGUUCGGGCGCGGACUGAUCGUACACACAACUCUGCUCUGCGUUUUUCCAAAAAUCUUUUACUCUUUUUGAAAAUAUUUCUCAAAUCCUCAGUUUGAGUUCAAAUACACCCGAAGGUGUACUCGAAUCCCUCAAACCAAGGCUCUUAUACCAAGUUGUAACACCGUAAAUUUCAGAACAAUUUCUCACAUUUUAUAAAAACAUAAUUCAUUUAAUAUUCAUAAAAACAUCAAUGUUUGAAACUCAAUCCAUGACAUAUAAAAAUCCCAAGAUCUCAUAACAUAAAAAUCCCGUGUGUGUACUGAUCAAGCCGGCGCCUUCCCACGGUCAUCACUAGUACCUGAAACAAAUAACACCAAACACUGUAAGCACAAAGCUUAGUGAGUUCCCCAAAAUACCACACAUAACACAUAUUAGCCACUCGAGGCUAUAACUCUGUGGGUCCGUGGACCCUACUCUGUGAACCCUCUGGUUCUAACUCUGUGAACCUUCCGGUUCCAACUCUAUAAGCAUGCACAUCAUAAAUCACAUAGAAAUAAUGCAGUACAACACAUAACAUACAUAUAGCAUACAAAUACUCUGUCACAUAACUCUGAUUACCUACUCAAGGUAAAGUAUAGUGAGAAGACUCACCUCGCGUAUCUCGAUAACUCGCAAAUCCCGGAAAUCACUCGCGCUCGAUCCCCCGAGCUAUAAUCCUCCUAUAACACAAUAUAUCUCUAAUUAACACUUUCACAACUAAGGUUGACUAACCCUAUCAAGUCAACACUGGUCAACUCUGGUCAAUGGUCAACGGUCAACUUUGACCGGACUCGGCGAGUGCACUAGAGCGACUCGGCGAGUCUAUACGUGUUCACUGACUCCC